rnacentral:rRNA from 1 species
UACGUAGGGUGCAAGCGUUAUCCGGAAUUAUUGGGCGUAAAGAGCUCGUAGGCGGUUUGUCGCGUCUGCUGUGAAAACUGGAGGCUCAACCUCCAGCCUGCAGUGGGUACGGGCAGACUAGAGUGCAGAAGGGGCAACUGGAAUUCUCGGUGUAGCGGUGAAAUGCGUAGAUAUCGAGAGGAACACCUGCGGCGAAGGCGGGUUGCUGGGCUGACACUGACGCUGAGGCGCGAAAGCUAGGGGAGCGAACGGG